rnacentral:lncRNA from 1 species
UAUCUAGAAUGGGGGCAGUAACCAAAGGAAAUGCUUCUUUAAAUAAUUUGGUUGGGAUUGGAUCCAAAAUGCAAGUUGAAGGUUUAGAUGAAGCUAAUAUUUUUGAUAACUCUGAAAGCUCAACUGGAUCAAAACGGUUCAAGCACAGAUGAGGUUCUACAGUCACCUCUUGUGCUGCCUCACUUACUGAGGAAGAAGCAAUCGCAUUAGGGAGGAUGCUAAAGAUUUUGUUUCUAAUAGAAUUAAUUUUACUUGUGAAAAAAUGUAGUUUGUCGAAGCUUAUUUUUUUUAGAAAGCACAAGACUAUUUUUCCAGGAUAGAUAGGCCUCCUCAUGGUGCGUAGAGCGCCAUGUUCUCUCCAAUUUCCUAGAGUUUUGUUUUAAGGCUCGUAGAUGAGAGUUAAACCAGGGAGCCAACUUCCUGUCCCUAAUUACCUUCUUUUUAAAGGGGCAACAUCAUCUAAUGCCACACGUAAAGAGGAAUUAACAUGAUGAACUAAGGCAUCAAUUUGUGAGGGGCUAGAACUGAAAAUAUUGCCCUCUGCUACAUGCCUCUGAGAUGCUGAGGACAGUAAAGAUGGAACAGUUGUUUGGACACAUCAGCUACUGAACAGGAGGGGGAAAUAAAAAUAAUCGGUAAUGAUGAUGUCAAGAAAUAAUUUAAUCUGUCACCACUUUCAUGCCAUUAGCAGCAUUUCUCUUAUGUUUGCUAGCUGUGAUUUUCUGCUGAAAGUGGUUCAGUUCAGGGGUGUUUUAGUGGUUCCUCCUCAUCGUUCCUGCUUGGAACCACCUAACCCUGUUAGACGGAAGAGGCGCUGCAGAUGGAGACAGGUGUGGAGUUCUGGGUGGUCCUGCUGAACCGCGGCAUCAGGGCAAAGGAAAAACGCUCCGACCCCAGCAGGACACCGGGAGGGAACGGGAAGCACGGAGAGCUCGGACUAACGUCAGCCGGAGGCUCAGCCUCCAGGAGCGCAACGUCAGAACCGGAGCGCAGAGCCGCGGAUCGCCUCGCCUUGCAGGGCUCUAUGGUGCAGCUGUCGUGCGUAAAACACCGGCAGAGCGCUCAGCGAACGCGGAAUGGGCAGACCAGAGCCCGACCAGAACCAGGGUGGUGAUGUCCGGGGGGAAGCGGAGUAGGAAAGCAGAAGAAUUCCCCCUCAGCAUUCCUGAUCAAUCCCAACAACCCCCUAAAGGGACCGUUUCCCUGCAGGAGCGGAUCUGAUCCAUAAAGGUUGGUUUUCAGCAGCAGCGCGUGUCUGUGGAGCUCAGCGCAGGUAAGAGGACUCUCCUCCAAUGGAGGGAUGCUCUCUGAGCUUCUCCUCUCACUCCCUCACUCAGUAGUGAGUCAUGGAGGUUAAUUCUUAAUUAGUGACAUUUUCUCUGCAGCUCGUUGUUGCCUGAAGGAUUAAUGAGAGAUGAAGGAAGAAUUUUGACUUCUCAGCGUCUUUAAAAGAUUUGCUGUUUAUAUAUUUAGCGGAUCUAUUAUGGAAAUGUUGCCUUAACAUCUGUCUACCCCCCCUCCCUGUCCUCUUGCACCCCCACCCCACCCCCCUUUUCUCCU